CGAACCGAGCGAACGUUGUUCGGAAUCACUGGGCUUAAAGGGCGCGUAGGCGGGUUCGCAAGUCUGUGGUGAAAUCCUCCGGCUCAACCGGAGAACUGCCUCGGAUACUGCGGGUCUCGAGGGGUGAUAGGGGUAUGCGGAACUAUCGGUGGAGCGGUGAAAUGCGUUGAUAUCGAUAGGAACUCCGGUGGCGAAGGCGGCAUACUGGAUCACUUCUGACGCUGAGGCGCGAAAGCCAGGGGAGCAAACGGGAUUAGAUACCCCGGUAGUCCUGGCCCUAAACGAUGGGUACUAGCUAGUAGGGUUCACAUGGCUUUACUGGCGAAGCAAAAGUGCUAAGUACCCCGCCUGGGGAGUAUGGUCGCAAGGCUG
rnacentral:rRNA from 1 species